GACAGAGGGUGCAACCGUUGUUCGGAAUUACUGGGCGUAAAGCGCGUGUAGGCGGCUUGGCAAGUCGGGUGUGAAAGCCCUGGGCUUAACCUAGGAAGUGCACUCGAAACUGCCGAGCUUGAGUUCUGGAGAGGAAGGCGGAAUUCUCGGUGUAGAGGUGAAAUUCGUAGAUAUCGAGAGGAACACCGGUGGCGAAGGCGGCCUUCUGGACAGCAACUGACGCUGAGACGCGAAAGCGUGGGGAGCAAGCAGG
rnacentral:rRNA from 1 species